UACGUAGGGUGCGAGCGUUGCCCGGAUUUAUUGGGCGUAAAGGGCGCGUAGGCGGUUUGACAAGUCUGAUGUGAAAUCUCUGGGCUCAACCCAGAGUCUGCAUUAGAAACUGUCGGGCUUGAGUAUGGGAGAGGUGAGUGGAAUUUCCGGUGUAGCGGUGAAAUGCGUAGAUAUCGGAAGGAACACCUGUGGCGAAAGCGGCUCACUGGACCAUAACUGACGCUGAGGCGCGAAAGCUAGGGGAGCAAACAGG
rnacentral:rRNA from 1 species